rnacentral:rRNA from 1 species
GUGCCAGCAGCCGCGGUAAAACGUAGGAGGCAAGCGUUAUCCGAAUUCACUGGGCGUAAAGCGCGUGCAGGCGGCCUGGUAAGUUGGCUGUGAAAUCUCCUGGCUCAACUGGGAGAGGCCGGUCAAUACUGUCAGGCUCGAGGGCGACAGAGGGAGGUGGAAUUCCGGGUGUAGUGGUGAAAUGCGUAGAUAUCCGGAGGAACACCAGAGGCGAAGGCGACCUCCUGGGUCGUACCUGACGCUCAGAUGCGAAAGCUAGGGGAGCGAACGGGAUUAGAUACCCGUGUAGUCC